rnacentral:rRNA from 1 species
UGGGGGAUAUUGCACAAUGGGGGAAACCCUGAUGCAGCGACGCCGCGUGGGUGAAGAAGUAUUUCGGUAUGUAAAGCCCUAUCAGCAGGGAAGAAAGAAGACGGUACCUGACUAAGAAGCCCCGGCUAACUACGUGCCAGCAGCCGCGGUAAUACGUAGGGGGCGAGCGUUAUCCGGAUUCACUGGGUGUAAAGGGAGCGUAGACGGCAAUAUAAGCCAGGAGUGAAACCCCGGGGCUCAACCCCGGGCAUGCUCUUGGAACUGUAGAGCUAGAGAGCGGGAGGGGCAGGCGGAAUUCCUGGUGUAGCGGUGAAAUGCGUAGAUAUCAGGAGGAACACCGGCGGCGAAGGCGGCCUGCUGGACCGCGGCUGACGUUGAGGCUCGAAAGCGUGGGGAGCGAACAGG